rnacentral:rRNA from 1 species
CCCGCCAAUUCCUUUAAGUUUCUCUGGUUGAUCCUGCCGGCGGCCACCGCUAUUGGAGUCCGCUUAAGACAUGCGAGUCGAGAGGGGUCAAGCCCUCGGCGCACUGCUCAGUAACACGCGGAUAAUCUGCCCUAAGGCGGGGAAUAACCUCGGGAAACUGAGGAUAAUGCCCCAUAGCCCACGGAUGCUGGAACGCACCGUGGAUGAAAGCUCCGGCGCCUUAGGAUGAGUCUGCGGCCUAUCAGGUUGUAGUGGGUGUAACGGACCCCCUAGCCUUCGACGGGUACGGGCUUUGAGAGAAGUUGCCCGGAGAUGGGUUCUGAGACACGAACCCAGGCCCUACGGGGCGCAGCAGUUACGAAAACUUGGCAAUGCGGGAAACCGCGACCAGGGGACUCCAAGUGCUAAUACUUUGUAUUAGCUGUUCUUCUGUCUAAAAAACAGGAGAAGUAAGGGCUGGGUAAGACGGGUGCCAGCCGCCGCGGUAAUACCCGCAGCCCGAGUGGUGGUCAUUAUUAUUGAGCCUAAAGCGUCCGUAGCCGGACUCGUAAAUCCUUGGGUAAAUCGGGCAGCUUAACUGUCCGAAUUCCGAGGAGACUGCGAGUCUUGGGACCGGGAGAGGUCAGAGGUACUCCAGGGGUAAGGGCUAAAUCUUGUAAUCCUUGGGGGACCACCAGUGGCGAAGGCGUCUGACUAGAACGGAUCCGACGGUAAGGGACGAAACCCUCGGGCGCAAACGGGAUUAGAUACCCCGGUAGUCCAGGGCUUAAACGCUGCAGAUUUGGUGUCGGGGGUCCUACGAGGGCACCCGGUUCCGGAGAGAAGUUGUUAAAUCUGCCGCUUGGGGAGAACGGUCGCAAGACUGAAACUUAAAGGAAUUGGCGGG